AACGCGAUCGAGCUGCGGUUCCAAUCUCACCUGCUGCGCCCCCCCAGCUGGAAACUAUCAGCGGUUAAACCCCAAGAGAGCAAAAAAAGAAAAAACUCCGGAUGAACUUUACUGCGACACAUCGUUCCUCGCGCGGCCGUGCGCGUGAUGCGUGUGACCGCGGGACUUGUGUCCUAACCUACCACCCGCUCCUCCAUCAUCCACUUCUUGCGCCCUGCGGGACUUGUUGCGUGUCCCGCGUCCACGGAAGUCCCGCCCCACGCGAGGCGGCCGACACCGCGCCGGGUUCCUCACUUCGUCCAGUUCGGGGACGCGCGGCGCAGAGCGACACUUCUCAGACGGAAACUUUUUAAGUUAUUUACAUUUUGAAAAAGUGUCUCAGUUUGUUGGAAUUCUGUGGAUUGAACUGAAAGUGAAAACGUUGCGGAAUCAGCGUGACAAUGUUGUUUUGUUUCCUCACGGUGGUCGAAAGCGUCCCGGUUAAUCUCCCGAAUCCAAGCUGUCAAUUUACAUUAUAAUAAUUUUAUUCAACGGUCCUCCAAAGUAAAAUAAAUGCAAAAUAUAAUAAUAUUUGUAAAAUGAUAUGCAGUGUUGUUUGCUGGGUAAAAUAUGAUGCUGGUGGAAGUUCAUGUUCAACGUUAAAUUGUGGCGUGGUCAUGGAUGGCAUGUUUAGAAUGAUCUGUUUCAUAAGGGUCUAAUGUUUGUUGAUAAACAAUAACCACGGCGUGAAGAAAUUGGUCAUAAAAUGUGUUCUGGUCUCUUAUUGCAGGUAAGAACCAACCUCUCUGCUAACUGAAGCCGAAGUGUGUUAAAACUUGAAUUAUCUUCACUGACCAGCAGGGGGCGACUGCUCCAGGUUGCAACAUGGAGGUCACCCAACUUCUGACUGGAUUUAUUCCCUCAGCAAACAUUGUAAAGGUGAGUUAAUGGUCUCGUCUAGUUAAUACAGCGCGGGUUAAAUGUUGAGUCAAAUAGACCGUGAGGUGGAGCAGCAGAAUGACCACGUCCAACAUCUCAGAUGGGGAAGCCCACCCUGUCCGUCGGCCCAACAAUCCAGCUGAGCACAUCUGCGGGCUGAGCGAGCGGUCACGCCUUGCGACAUUAAAGCCAUGAAAGAAAAGAAUAGAAAGUAAAGCUCCCUAAACAAAAAUAUUCCUUUGGCUUUUGAAUUUCUUUGUCACCCCCCCCCGAGUGUUCUUCUAAUAACUUAUAAGACGCACAGGGGCCAAAACCACCGUGCUCGGCUGGCUGCUUUACGAGCGCAGCCGGGACACGCUUGUAAACUUGACGCUCAUUCAAAUGAAGGCAAUAAAUAAAGAAUAUGAGCUGGAAGGUGACCAGGUGGACACGGCCUGGAACCCCGACGAGAUGAAUCACCUCUCGUUUUUUUUUUUUUUUUAUUGCCGCAGCUAAAAAAUAUUUGAACCGCGCUUUCUCAGAAGGGUCUCGAUGCUCCUGCAGCGACUGAGGGAGCCAGAAGUCAGACGGGGGAGUCUGCCGUCGCUCCAGAAGUCAACGCUCACUCACGUCGGAGUCGUCGGGCGUUUUGAGCAGCCCACGCACCGUGUCCGGGGGACAUCAAUCACUUCCGUUGAGGGUGCACAUUGCGUAUUAAGUGUCCUGCCCCGGGGAGACAGAAGCUGAGACAGCUGGCUAGUUGGACUCCCCGAGGCCGGGGGCGAGCUGCUUCCACUGUGUGUGUGUGUGUGUGUGUGCGCGUUCCAACCAAGCGCCAAAUUCCUCCCUCAUUAUCUCCAUUGUCUCUGCGACGCAGGCCGGAGAGCACAAAGGAGGGUCUGAAGCCGCUCCCA